CAGAAAGAGGAAAGGGAGGGGCAAGAAUGGGUGGAGCCCUGGACCAGGGAAGACCAGAGCACCUGGAUGUGGUCCUCUCUCCGGUGCUGACAUUGGGUGGGUCACCCCACCCUCCGGACUUCAGGUUUGUCAUGUAACCAGAUGUAAGUUACCAUUCCCAAUUAUAACUUUACAGCCAAACCCAAUGGUCUCGAUUUCGGGCUUCUGGUGUUGAAUGCCAUGGAUUCAGCUUCCAGGUGGAGACAGUGUUGUCUGACCCCAGCUCGAGGGAAAGUGACACACACUGACAUUGGAGCUGCUGGAUUGAGGGUUACCUAUGAUUGUUGUUGGGAGAAGCUGUGAACCUGAUCCUAUUCCACCCAUUCUGAUUUGUAAAUGCUGUGGUAAACUCAGACUGAGGAAAACCAAUCUGAAGUCACCAGGCUGUGACUUCUC
rnacentral:lncRNA from 1 species